rnacentral:tRNA from 1 species
AAGCUGUUGUAAAAAAAAUGAAAAAAAUUAGAAAAAGUAGUUGACAAAGUUUGAAAAGACUGUAUAAUAGUAAGAGUUGAAAAUAACAACUCAGGUCCGUUGGUCAAGGGGUUAAGACACCGCCUUUUCACGGCGGUAACACGGGUUCGAAUCCCGUACGGACUAUGGUAUGUUGCGUCAGGACCACUUGAUGAAAAAAAGUUUAAAAAAACUUAAAAAUCUUCAAAAAAGUGUUGACAAGCGAAAGCAGUUGUGAUAUACUAAUAUAGUUGUCGCUUGAGAG